AAAAGAGUAAAUAAAAUGUCUGUGAAAUGACAUACAUACCCUUGACUUAUACACAAUUUCUAUAAUGCCAUCGACUUUUCAUUUUCUUCUUUCAUCUGCAGCAGUUUCUCCAUGUAUAUUUGCAGCUAUUGGUUUAGGAAUUUUAUCAAACAAGCAUUAGCAUGAUAUACAUGUAUAUACCUGAUACUUUAUUUGGACAUUACAAUGAGGCAUAUGAGCGGCACCAUGAAUCAGCUUACUAUCCUUCAACAAUACAUGUGAACAGACCAGCACCGCCGGCAGCUUUUGUGUCGCCGCCAUUCUUCGUUCUACUAGCGAUUCUGCGUCUCCUCCAUCCACAAUUCAACUCCAGCGGAUGGUUUCUCGAAAAAACUUCAGACUCAAGUCCUUAAAUGGUGGAAGCCUAAUGGCAAUUUGUUCCUCUUCUCCUUACAUUCAAUAUGCAAAAUAUGGUUCAUGAACCAUUCGUCAGUGGCGAUCAAUCAUUGGGUCAGUAGUCUCUGGACAAGGUGGAGAUAAACGAGUUGGAUCAAUGGUAGAUGCAGAGGCAGAUUAUUGUGACAAGUUCACGGAAGACCCUCGCCUAUCUAAUAUUGAUAUUCUCAGUUUUAAGCACUUGGAGGUCAACUGUGCAAGCACUGAUUAUUGUGCCCACCAGGGAGCUUGGCAUGCGGUAAGGUUACAAAAGUUGCUCAUACUCUUGCUGCAAAAAGUGGGAAGCCUGGAACUGAGGAGAAACCUUGCACAGUUAUGGCUCUUCUUGACGGAGGAAUUUUGAGAAGGCACAAGAGUUGAUUCAAGGCGGAGCCUCCUACUAUAGUGGUUGCAACAAUGAGGAGCUUGAGGCAGAUGUUAAAUAAGAAUAUUUUAAAGUUAGAAUCUAUAAGGGUUCUCGUAAUCGAUGAGGCAAGUUCCCUCUGCUUCUUACUUCUUACUUCUUUUCUGUGUUGUGAUAACAGGAGAAAGUGAUAAGCAUAUAUUGUUUUUUUAAUAUCCCAACUAGAGUUACAAAGUUGCCAUACAUAGCAGAACAUAAGAGAAAGAUAUACAUGUAAAUUACAAAACUUUUGGGAUUUCAGAGACUAAAUGUUAUGAACAUGUUCAAUACCAUUGCUAUUCCAGAGCUUUGUGUAUGGGACACUAUAGAUACAUGCAAACACCUUAAAAUAAAAGUGCAAACAGAUAUUAUAAAAUCUGUGCAGGUUUUUGCUGGGUUCACGACACAUUGUGUUGUAAACUAAAUAUAAUGUGCGUCCCAAAGCAGCUUAAAUGUGUGUUUUUUAUUCUUAUAAGAUCGAACCACUCAUUACAGCAUUAACAUCAAACUACUUAAAAAGGGUGAGAGUAUUAGAGUUUCAUGAGCCAGAUUUUUUCCAUAGGAACAAGACGUCAGCCUGUGACGGCCUUGCAUAAAUUUAUCAAGAUUAAACUAUCUGUGUAAGACCUGCGGGAAGUCCAAGCAAAGCCUUGAUAUCAACGGAACGGUUUGCAAUUGUCUAAAAUAAUAUUCACGGUUAUCGACUGGCUUUUCAUUUGCCAAGUUUCAUAUUUUUUUAAAAUGAAAUUAAGUUUCAUUUUUCAAAGUAUACACGGUUAGAAAUUUCAUUUUGCAGGAUACUUGAUUCCACGAAAGAAUUUGUGGGCUUUGCCACCUAUUAAUUGGAGCACUCUAGACUCUAGACAUGUCUUUCCGUUUUAGAAUAUCUCUGUACAUGACUUGUAUAAUUUAUAUAAAUAAGACGAUAUGGCCGCUGAUUUUUAAUUUUGUCAUGUCCUGGAUAUAUUUGUUUGCUCAGUUCUCUUUUAGGAUGUGCGUCAGGUAAAAAUAGUAUCUGUCAACAAUGUCUCCUUGAGUGCUUCCGAGCACGACAUCAAGUAGUUCUUUUCAUUCUCUGGUGAUCUUGAAUAUGUUGAUUUACGAAGGUUAUUUAUUUGCUACAGUGUAUGGUUUUUCGAACGAACUAAAUCUCUAAUUCUUUUUUAACUUAUUAGUGAUACCGAGCGUUCUCAAGUUGCAUAUGUCACUUUUAAAGAUUCUCAUGGUGCAGAUGUUCUUCUUUGGUAUGUUGAUUUGGUUGAGCCGCAUGAUCUUAUUAAAUGUGGAACUGUUUUUAUACAACUCAAUUAACUGGUGUAACCUUAAACUUCUAAACUAAACAUGGCACAUGUUUGCGCAUAUUCACAUGUCCAGUGUUUAAUGAUUUGCAAUAAAGUUUUUUGCCAGCCCUAUGUUGGCGAGCUUAAAUUACGGAUGAUUUGAUAUGCUUUUGAUUAGUUUUAGCUAAUAUUUUUGCCUGAUUUGCUCAGAUCCACGUAUUAUGUAUACUUCGUUAUUUGAAUUUGGGAUGAAGUUGCGAAUCUCGGAUUGUGUUCUGCUUGAUCAUUCAUCUAAAUAAAAUUUUGAGAGUUUAGAGUCGUAUUUGAUCCUGUUUGUUUGGAUUGCAGAUAGAUUAUUUAUUUUUAAUUUGCUUAGAUUUUUUUUUUUUGUGUAUGUGCUUGGAACAACAGUACUCUGUACAUAUAUAUUGAUCUGGAGUUGAAGCUUUUAAAAUUAAAGGACUUGGAUAGUGUUCUGUUUUCUUAAAUUGCUUUGAGUUGUGAUCAUCAGAUAGUUGCUUAUGUUAGUUUUUAAGUUUUAUACUUUCAGGGAAUUGUCAUUUGAAUAUGUUUAGUUUAGAUUAUAAGCACGAUUUCUGUUAGAAAACUGUAGCAGUGAUUGCCACGACAUGCUCCGGGAUUUUUGCUUCAGCAACAUAAAUUCUAGCUUUAUUAUUCUUACUCUGCAAUAUCAUAUGAAAAUCCUUUUUCAUUGACAAAUACUAGAGCCGUUUUCCAAUUUAAAUAUCUUCUCUAUGUACUCUAAUCUACAGGUUAUUUGCUAGACAUUGACUCGUACUUAUUCUAAUUUUAAACGUAUUACAUCUGAAUUUCAAGUUUUCAACCUACUUAGUGAAAAUCAAUUACAUGAUGACCUUUAAGUAUAUUCUGCAAAAAAUCUAUCUGUCUUUGUUCGAUUGUAGAUAAGACUAGAGAUACGUUGAUUUUUCAAAAUGGCAUGUUAAUGGAUUCUAGGUUGCAGGUUGUGAGAAAGAAACUGUUUAAGAAUCUUCAAAUUUCUGAUUGCCAAGCAGCAAGUUGAGGAAAGUUGGCUACAGUUUCAUGGGGAUCUGAGACAAAGAGUGAGGCAUCGUCGUGUUUGUCAAGUACCACCAGCACAGACCUGCAAGACUACAGCAAAAAACAAGGCAGAGUACUCCUCACCUGCACAGACGUGCUGAUUCCAUCAUGAAUAUAUUGGCUCAUCAUGCUGGUUAAUGAAACACGCUGCGGUGAAGAGGUCUGGAGCUGGAGGCCGAUAUAGCAUGAUGUGGCUGUCCAUUAACAUAUUACAAAUCUUGCAGAGACCUGCAUUCACAAGAUUUUUAAACGAUUUCUUAGGUUGGGUCCCUGAAGGUGAUGUCUAACCAGAGAUCAGGGAGGCUAUGUGAGAUAUAUACUUAGAGUUUGAUUACAAAGAUAAGUCGGAAUGAGGUAUAUAUAAAAACAAGUGAUUAUUAGACAUCAAAAACAGUUAGAAGUGGUAUACUAAUAAAGUCGUUAAUUUAGAAGUGUAGUUAGUGAUCGAGAAGAGUGAUAUAUACAUGGGUUAAGCAUUUUAACUAUUUAAUAUUGAUCAAGUUUGAAUUAUGAAUCA